rnacentral:lncRNA from 1 species
AUUUGCUCCUACUGCUUAAAGAAAAAUGGAGAAAAGCAGGAUGAGAUGAAGGUGCCUGAAGCUAUUGCAGACUCCUGUUGGCUUGUUUGACAAGAUCUUACUAAUACAGAUGGGAAAUAGGCUAUUGCAGAGAUGGAUAUUACUACAGGAAUCAGAGAAGAAAUACAUUUCAUACUGAGCCUGAUCAAAGAUCAAGAGAAAAGCAUCGUGAAGGGAAACUGAAAUGAUGGGAAAAAAACAAAAAAGCAGGAGAAGGAAGGCUAUAAUAAGGACCUUUCAUCACUGAGAAUUAGGAGUUGUAGUUCCAUACAAAAGCUGUUGGCCACCUGAGCUGAAGAUGCUAGCAGCAAAAAGGCUCUUUGAAGAUCAGUAGCCAUGGUCUGUUUCGAAAAACAGGUGCAUACCACAUGUAAGAGUGGAGAAAGCUGCAUUUCCUUCAAAGAGAGAAACUGAGUCGUCGUUCAUUCCUGGGGUAAAAGGUACUGUUAUUUACCAUGACUUUAUUAAUUGUGUAAAUAAUUUUGAUAAUGUGCAUGCAUUUGAAGCUAGUAAAUAUUUAUUGCCAGAAGUUACUGGAAGGUUGUAUCAACCCAUGUUUGUGGAUACAGGUCUUUGAAGGGUUCAUUUGUUCUGUAAAGUGAAUGAUUCAGUGACCCUGGAACAGAAAUGUAUAUAUGAUGAGGUGUGCUAAUAAAAUAUUAGUUAUGUUAUCA